GCACCCUAGUAACCCAUCCGGGGGAGAACCUGGGCCUGGACUUCAGUGAGAUCCAGGGGAACGUCAGGGUGGCCGAGGUGGACUGUACCCCCCGUCGCGACGGAUGGACAUCCCCGCAGAACAGAUAGUGUGUGAGAUGGCUGUGGCAACGCGAGCCAGUUCGCCAACUACGUGGAGGUGUGUGUGGGGGUGUGGGGUCAGAGAGUGUCCCAAAAGUUCAGGCCGUAUACUCCAAGUA